rnacentral:rRNA from 1 species
AGUGAACGCUGGCGGUAGGCCUAACACAUGCAAGUCGAACGGCAGCACAGGAGAGCUUGCUCUCUGGGUGGCGAGUGGCGGACGGGUGAGGAAUACAUCGGAAUCUACUCUGUCGUGGGGGAUAACGUAGGGAAACUUACGCUAAUACCGCAUACGACCUACGGGUGAAAGCAGGGGACCUUCGGUCCUUGCGCGAUUGAAUGAGCCGAUGUCGGAUUAGCUAGUUGGCGGGGUAAAGGCCCACCAAGGCGAAGAUCCGUAGCUGGUCUGAGAGGAUGAUCAGCCACACUGGAACUGAGACACGGUCCAGAUUCCUACGGGAGGCAGCAGUGGGGAAUAUUGGACAAUGGGCGCAAGCCUGAUCCAGCCAUACCGCGUGGGUGAAGAAGGCCUUCGGGUUGUGAAGCCCUUUUGUUGGGAAAGAAAUCCAGCUGGCUAAUACCCGGUUGGGAUGACGGUACCCAAAGAAUAAGCACCGGCUAACUUCGUGCCAGCCGCCGCCGUAA